rfam:Schistosoma mansoni strain Puerto Rico chromosome 1, complete genome
GUCCAGCUGGUGAGUACCAAAUGGGACGAAACACGUGUCCUGGAU